GGUGGCUCAGUGGCAGAGCACUUGCCUUGCAUGCAUGAGGCCCUGGGUUCGAUUCCUUAGUACCA
rnacentral:tRNA from 1 species